UGACCGCAAGCAACGGAAAUGAUGGAAGCGAAUCCCCAGAUCCGGGGAGACUGCUAAUGCAGGUCUUCUGCAAAAUACAAGUGGCCUAAACAAACUUUCGAAAAGCAGGGAUAACAGUUUACCAAAGCAAGUAUCCGCAGAGAAGAAAGGCAGAUCCCGGCAUAAAUGGGGCUGCUGUGAAGUCACUCAGGUCAGAGAGCCACUCAAGAUACUGACCGAAGCCCACAUCAGAGGCCCUUUACUCUUUGUCUCACAAUGAAGAGCUAACUUUCCAAAAGGGAAAGGAAAAAAAGGGAAAAAAGCACUUUGGAAAAAGCACAUAAUUUCUCUGAGCAUGGAGCUCCUCCUAUGCAGAAGAGCAGCCCGGUUGUGGUAUUGCCUGCUACCGUCAGGGGGCGCUCCAAGCAACUCAGUCUUCAAGACUUGGAGGCGACCAUCCUCCCAUUACAGGAAGCUAAAAAUCCUCCUAUUUGGCUUUUUCACUAAGGCUAACAAUGAUUAAUAGGAAAAGUGGACAUGAAAGGCACCUUAUUAAUAUUAGCCACUGCCUAAAACACUUCCAAAGCAAAAUUCCUGGUGAAGCCCGCACAGCUCAGGCUGAAACCUUCCAAGGCCUUGAUUUUCCUCCUUGCCUGGAUUGCAGUGGAGCCCCCAGUGGUGGAUGUAGUGAAGCACAGCAAGGAGAAGAAAUAAAACAGACUCCAAGGGAACCACAAGUCACUUACUAAUAUCACAGAAGAGCUGCCAAAGAGGCAGAGACAAGCUAUACCCAUGGGAAAUACCAUAGAAUA